CGGUGUCGAGCGCACUCGUUCACAAUGUUCGGGGCAGGAAUUCAACCCUUGGGAUCUGCAUUAUCCGCUGCCCCACAAUAGCUGCAGCAGCAACAGGACCGAACCGACCGCUCUACUGAUUGCGGUCAAAUUUCGUGGCAGGAGAAAAAACCCCACAAGUGUAUCGAUUUCAUCGACGGCCGCUCGCUGGCAGCACCAACAUGCCACCGAAUAACCCCGGAAAGGCGACAAACACUCAUCGCGGCAAAUUGGUAACAUUAACCCACUUCCGCACAUCUAUACGACAUCACGUUAAUAGUGUUAUUGUGAUGAUGUUAACGAGUUAAGAUUAGACUUAAGUACGCUUUAAGGCAUACAUCGAUAUGCCUAAUUUUAAGUUAAGUGUUUUGACAUGCGCGUGUGUGUGAAGGGUCGAGAUAAGCGCUAAGCAAACUAAGCGGCCGCGUAGGGCCCCGUGGUCUUGAGGGGCCCCAAAAAUGGAACCCACCCCUCGCUCGCUAGUAAAAUUUACAUUUGUGCUUGUAAACCUACAUUUAUGAGACUGCCUCCACUCGUAUGUGCGGGUUUUAUACAACAUUUAAGAUAAAUAAAUCUAGUUUAUAUUCUCAUAAAUCA